rnacentral:rRNA from 1 species
UCAAACCAAAGCUGGCGACCGGCGCACGGGUGAGUAACACGUAUCCAACCCGCCUCAUACUCGGGGAUAGCCUUUCGAAAGAAAGAUUAAUAUCCGAUAGCAUAUAUUUCCCGCAUGGGUUUUAUAUUAAAGAAAUUCGGUAUGAGAUGGGGAUGCGUUCCAUUAGUUUGUUGGGGGGUAACGGCCCACCAAGACUACGAUGGAUAGGGGUUCUGAGAGGAAGGUCCCCCACAUUGGAACUGAGACACGGUCCAA